rnacentral:rRNA from 1 species
CCCUUAGAUGUUCUGGGCAGCACGCGCGCUACAAUGGUCUUCGCAAACGGAUGCAUUCUCGAAGGAGAAUGCCAAUCUUGGAAUCUAUGCCUUGGUCGGGACAGAUGCUUGCAAUUUUUCGACUCGAACCAGGAAUUCCUUGUAAUCGUGAUUCAUCACAUCACGAUGAAUACGUCCCUGCCCUUUGUACACACCGCCCGUCGCUCCUACCGAUCGAAGAGUUAGGUGAAUUGUUUUGAUCGAUAAGAUUUGACUAUGGUCAACUCUCGUUGUGAAAUUCUGUGAAUCUGACUGUUUAGAGGAAGGAAAAGUCGUAACA